AGAACGAACGCUGGCGGCGUGGAUAAGACAUGCAAGUCGAACGGGCUUAAUUUUAGAGCAAUCUAGGGUUGAGCCAGUGGCGAACGGGUGCGUAACACGUGAGUCAUCUGCCUGAAAGUGGGGGAUAGCUCGCCGAAAGGCGAAUUAAUACCGCAUGUGGUUGUGAAACCAAAGCCGGGGCAACCUGGCGCUUUUAGAGGAGCUCGCGGCCUAUCAGCUUGUUGGUGAGGUAACAGCUUACCAAGGCAACGACGGGUAGCUGGUCUGAGAGGACGACCAGCCACACUGGAACUGAGACACGGUCCAGACACCUACGGGUGGCAGCAGUCGAGAAUUUUUCUCAAUGGGGGAAACCCUGAAGGAGCGACGCCGCGUGGAGGAUGAAGGCUUUCGGGUUGUAAACUCCUGUCAUUUGGGAACAAGUCUUACGUUAACUGCGUGGAGAUUUGAUAGUACCGAAGAGGAAGAGACGGCUAACUCUGUGCCAGCAGCCGC
rnacentral:rRNA from 1 species